rnacentral:rRNA from 1 species
GAUGAACGCUGGCGGCGUGCCUAAUACAUGCAAGUCGAGCGAACGGACGAGAAGCUUGCUUCUCUGAUGUUAGCGGCGGACGGGUGAGUAACACGUGGAUAACCUACCUAUAAGACUGGGAUAACUUCGGGAAACCGUAGCUAAUACCGGAUAAUAUUUUGAACCGCAUGGUUCAAAAGUGAAAGACGGUCUUGCUGUCACUUAUAGAUGGAUCCGCGCUGCAUUAGCCAGUUGGUAAGGUAACGGCUUACCAAGGCAACGAUGCAUAGCCGACCUGAGAGGGUGAUCGGCCACACUGGAACUGAGACACGGUCCAGACUCCUACGGGAGGCAGCAGUAGGGAAUCUUCCGCAAUGGGCGAAAGCCUGACGGAGCAACGCCGCGUGAGUGAUGAAGGUCUUCGGAUCGUAAAACUCCGUUAUUAGGGAAGAACAUAUGUGUAAGUAACUGUGCACAUCUUGACGGUACCUAAUCAGAAAGCCACGGCUAACUACGUG